UACGUAGGGUGCGAGCGUUGUCCGGAAUUAUUGGGCGUAAAGGGCUCGUAGGCGGUUUGUCGCGUCGGGAGUGAAAACGCCGUGCUUAACACGGCGCUUGCUUUCGAUACGGGCAGACUAGAGGUAUUCAGGGGAGAACGGAAUUCCUGGUGUAGCGGUGAAAUGACGCAGAGUAUCAGGAGGAACACCGGUGGCGAAGGCGGUCCUCUGGGCAUUACCUGACGCUGAGGAGCGAAAGUGUGGGGAGCGAAUGGG
rnacentral:rRNA from 1 species